GACGAACGCUGGCGGCAUGCCUAAUACAUGCAAGUCGAACGCCAAAUCUUCCUGCUUGCAGGAAGAGGCGGAGUGGCGAACGGGUGAGUAACACGUGAGGAACUUGCCCAUAAGAGGGGGAUAACACCCGGAAACGGGUGCUAAUACCGCAUAGGUUUUCCCACCGCAUGCUGGGAAAAUAAAAGGUGGCUCUGCUACCGCUUAUGGAUAGCCUCGCGGCGCAUUAGCUAGUUGGUAGGGUAAAGGCCUACCAAGGCCAUGAUGCGUAUCCGACUUGAGAGGGUGAUCGGCCACACUGGAACUGAGACACGGUCCAGACUCCUACGGGAGGCAGCAGUAGGGAAUCUUCCACAAUGGGUGCAAGCCUGAUGGAGCAAUGCCGCGUGAGUGAAGAAGGACUUCGGUUCGUAAAGCUCUGUUGUUGGGGAAGAACACGGAUAGGAGUCACUGCCUAUCCCUUGACGGUACCCAACCAUAAAGUCACGGCUAACUACGUGCCAGCAGCCGCGGUAAUACGUAUGUGAUCAGCGUUGUCCGGAUUUAUUGGGCGCUAACCGAGCGCAGGCGGUCCGGCUAUUCUGAUGUGAAAGCCCACGGCUCAACCGUGGAACGGCAUUGGAAACUGGCGGACUUGAAUGUAGCAGAGGAAAGUGGAAUUCCUUGUGUAGCGGUGGAAUGCGUAUAUAUAUGGAGGAACACCAGUGGCGAAAGCGACUUUCUGGGCUAUGAUUGACGCUGAGGCUCGAAAGCGUGGGGAGCGAACAGGAUUAGAUACCCUGGUAGUCCACGCCGUAAACGAUGAGUGCUAAGUGUUGGAGGGUUUCCGCCCUUCAGUGCUGGAGUUAACGCAUUAUGCAACUCCGCCUGGAGGAUUACGACCGCAAGGUUGAAACUCAAAAGAAUUGACGGGGACCCGCACAAGCGGUGGAGCAUGUGGAUUAAUUGGAAGCAACGAGAAGAACCUUACCAGCUCUUGACAUCUUCUGCGACCUUCAGAGAUGUAGGGUUCCCUUCGGGGACAGAAUGACAGGUGGUGCAUGGUUGUCGUCAGCUCGUGUCGUGAGAUGUUGGGUUAAGUCCCGUAACGAGCGCAACCCUUAUUGUUAGUUGCCAGCAUUGAGUUGGGCACUCUAGCAAGACUGCCGGUGAUAAACCGGAGGAAGGCGGGGAUGACGUCAAAUCAUCAUGCCCCUUAUGAGCUGGGCUACACACGUGCUACAAUGGAUGGUACAACGAGUGGCGAGACCGUGAGGUUUAGCUAAUCUCCCAAAGCCAUUCUCAGUUCGGAUUGCAGGCUGCAACUCGCCUGCAUGAAGUCGGAAUCGCUAGUAAUCGCGGAUCAGAAUGCCGCGGUGAAUUCGUUCCCGGGUCU
rnacentral:rRNA from 1 species